rnacentral:rRNA from 1 species
GACAGAGGCCUCAAGCGUUAGGCGGAAUCACUGGGCUUAAAGCGUGUGUAGGCGGAUCGUUAAGUGCCUUGUGAAAUCCCACGGCUUAACUGUGGAACGGCUGGGCAUACUGGCGGUCUUGAGCCAUCUAGGGGCGACUGGAACAAACGGUGGAGCGGUGAAAUUCGUAGAUAUUAGGAAGAACACCAGUGGCGAAGGCGACUUACUGGACACAUAUUGACGCUGAGGUGCGAAAGCGUGGGGAGCAAACAGG